AGUGAUAAGGCUGAGACAUCCUAUGCAUAAUCAGAGAAGCUAGGAUGCCAUGCAAACUGAAGAAGAGUUUCUAAAAGAAGGCUUGAAGGGGUCACUUGCAUCCAAUGGUGCAGAGGUGUCAGGGACUGAGGACUUAGAUGAAGCCACUGCAUUUAGCAAUUUAAGGAUCCUCUCCAAGAUCCCACAAACCUCGGGAUAAAAGGCACUGAAGUACGUGGAUGACGCCAUGUCAGCCAUCUUGCUACAAGCAUUCUCCUUGAAGUGCUCUAUCCAACAGGCUCAGGUGGACGAUAGAGCAAACCCCACUGACCACAAGCACGCAAAACCUGGCAGUCUGGGAGAGCAGUCACUUGCUGCUAGUUUCCCAGUAACUCAGCCAUCGACAGAAACCAUGUGAGAAUGAGGGCUGAAAUACCAAACUCCAGAAACUGUCAGAGCAAAUCUGAGCCAGUCUUCCUGGACCCAAGUUUCUACUGCAGUACAUGGGCAGGCACUGAAGGGGACAGAGAAAGUGGUGGAGAACUUCUGGCCAAAUCUCGGUUUAUGGCUCCUUCUGAGGUUUGGGUAAUAUUAUUUUGAUUAUUAACUAUUUAAGCC